UACGGGGGGAGCAAGCGUUGUUCGGAUUUACUGGGCGUAAAGGGCGCGUAGGCGGCCUGUGCAAGUCAGUUGUGAAAUCUCCGAGCUUAACUCGGAACGGUCAACUGAUACUGCUCGGCUAGAGUGCGGAAGGGGCAACUGGAAUUCUUGGUGUAGCGGUGAAAUGCGUAGAUAUCGUAAGGAAGACCAGUGGCGAAGGCGGGUCUCUGGACAGUUCCUGACGCUGAGGCACGAAGGUCAGGGGAGCAAACAGG
rnacentral:rRNA from 1 species